CAUCUUCCCCGUGAAGCCCAUCUCAUCCCAUCCCAUCCCAUCCCAUCCCACACUUGGGUUUCUGAGGCCACCAAAUCAUGAGAGCUUCCAUCCUUCUCUGCCUCCUCGCGGUCACUCUCUUCUCCUCUUCCAUUGCCACCGGUGGUGACGUCUUGACUCCCCACCGACCCAUCCUCGACGACGGCACGACCCUGAUCUCGGCCGGCGGUGCCUUCGAGCUGGGCUUCUUCAGCCCCGUCGGCUCCGACAACCGCUACGUCGGCAUAUGGUUCCACAAGGUCUCUCUGCAAACCGUCAUAUGGGUCGCCAACCGCCAGCGCCCGGUGGCCGGUCGAACCGGGAGCCUUUCCUUGGCCGCCAACGGAACACUCUUCGUUACCGACAACUCCACCGUCGUCUGGUCCUCCGGCUCGCCCGCCCUCGCCAACCCCGUGGCGCAGCUCCUCGACGACGGUAACCUCGUCGUUAUGGAGUCCGGCAGCAGCAGCAAAGACCCCAACAGCUUUGCAUGGCAGGGCUUCGACUUCCCCACCGACACGCUCCUCCCGAACAUGAAACUGGGUUGGAAUCUCACCAGCGGGCUCAACCGCAACCUCACCUCCUGGGCGAGCCUCAGCGAUCCUGCAAUCGGCAACUACACCAUGGGCGUGGACGUGGACGGCGAUCCGCAAGGAUUCCUAUGGUCCAGAGAUAGCAAGCAGUGGCGGGCGGGGUCGUGGAACGGGAUCCAGUUCAGCGGCAUCCCGGAUAUGAAGACCUACAGCCAGUUCUCCUUCGAGUUCAUCAUCAGACCCGACGAGGUCUUCUACUCCUUCUUCGUGCACGACGACUCCAUCAUCUCAAGGUUGACGGUGCUGCCGUCGGGAAUCCUGCAGCGGCUGGUUUGGAUCGAACACAGCAAGCUAUGGAGCGUGUUCUGGUUCGCGCCCAGGGACCAAUGCGACUAUGUUUCGCCGUGUGGUCCCAACGGCGUCUGCGAUUCCAAUAACUCGCCCAUAUGCGAGUGCCUCCAUGGUUUCCGGCCCAAGAACCCCACCAACUGGGAUCUCAGGGACGGAUCGGACGGCUGCGUGAGGGAGACGGCACUGGACUGCCGGAACGGGACCGAUGGGUUCAACCAGCUGAGCAACGCCAAGCUCCCGGACACGUCGAGAGCAGUGGUCAACAGGAGCCUGAACCUGCAACAGUGCAGGGAUGCGUGUUCGAGGAAUUGCUCGUGCACAGGCUAUGCCGCUGCCAGCUUCAACUCCAGCGGGAUUUGGAAUGGCUGCAUCAUGUGGACGACCCAUCUCACCGAUCUCAGGGUGUAUGUCAGUGGCGGACAGGAUCUCUAUGUCAGGGUAGCAGCCGCCGAUUUAGAUCAAUCGGACUCGGAAACAAAACAUUCUCACCGGACUCGCGUGUUCGUGAUCGUCGUCGCCGUCCUUGCUCCGGCGAUUCUACUCGCAGCUUGUGUGGCUUGCUGCGUUGGGAGGAAGAAGAUGAUAAUGAUGAGGAGAGCUACGUCCGGUACCAAAUCACUGUCGGGGCACCAUAUCGACGACGGAGCAGAAGGCAAGGACUUGGACCUACCACUGUUUGAUUUGGGCACGAUCGCGGAUGCCACCGACAACUUCUCCAUUCAUAACAAGCUCGGCGAGGGUGGAUAUGGUCCGGUGUACAAGGGCAAACUGGAGGAGGAACAAGAAGUGGCCAUAAAGAGGCUAUCCAAGACGUCGAUGCAAGGCCUGGACGAGUUCAAGAACGAGGUGACUGUGAUCGCUAAGUUGCAACACCGAAACCUCGUUCGGCUUCUUGGCUGCUGCAUUCAAGCAGGGGAAAGGGUGUUGAUCUACGAGUACAUGCCCAAUGGAAGCUUGGACGCCUUCCUAUUCGAUAAAGUUAAAGGUGAAUUAUUGAACUGGCGAAGCCGGUACACCAUCAUCGUGGGGAUCGCCCGAGGCCUCCUCUACCUCCAUGAAGAUUCCAGACUAAGGAUCAUCCACAGGGAUCUCAAGGCCAGCAACAUUCUUCUCGACAAGGACAUGAACCCUAAGAUUUCGGACUUCGGCAUGGCCAGAAUAUUUGGAGGGGAUGAGACGGAAGUAAAUACCAUGAGAGUGGUGGGAACAUACGGUUACAUGUCGCCUGAAUACGCCAUGGACGGAAUCUUCUCGGUGAAAUCUGACGUGUUCAGCUUCGGCGUGCUGGUGCUCGAGAUCGUAAGCGGCAAAAGGAACCGCGGCGUUUAUUACUCCGGUCGCCACCUAAAUCUUCUGGCAUACACGUGGAGUCUCUGGAAAGAAGACAGAGUGCUGGAAAUGGUGGACGAAUCGAUCGGGGAGUCCUUCCCCACGGAUGAAGUGUUGAGGUGCAUAAAGAUCGGGCUUUUAUGCGUUCAAGAGAUGCCAGAAGACAGACCGACGAUGUCUUCAGUGGCGUUGAUGUUGGGGAGCGACGGUGCUCUCCUGCCGCAACCUGCUCACCCAGGUUUUGUGUCGGCCAGGUGCCCGAUCGAAAUGGAUUCAUCGAUAAGUAAGCAGGAGUCGAUGUCCAUAAACAACGUAUCGGUCACAAUGUUCGAAGGUCGGUAGAUCAACUAAAACGUACCUAUAGUGUUAAGAUUAUAUGGAGGUUGGUUUUUAAUUGUAAGGUGUUGUAGAGUGAAGGUCGGUACGUAUAACAUGUAUCGGACACACGAACGUGAGAGGAGGAGCCACCAACAUCGAUCGAUUCAGCCGGAGCUGAAGCGAGAUAGAUACGACGUUGCCUAAAUGCGUUGUGCUGCGCUGUGCUGUACUUGAUAAUGUCGUGACGACCGAAAGCCAUGUCGGAGUCGAUGGCACAGACACUCGAAAGAACAAAGCUGCGUCACGUCCGUGCAAGUGCUAAAGGAAAAGUUACUGGCAACCAAAGUUGGGAGCUGCCACAGGUCACAUGCAUUCUAUGCUGCCACAAGCUCACUUAUUUGGAAUCUGUCUGUCAACCUUUUUGUAGCCGCUUGGUGUUUGUGUUUGUGUCGUCCGCAGCAGUCAUCGGAAUCUACAUGGAAGGCUGCUAUCGGACGGCUCGUUCGCAUUGGUCGAAGCGGAUAGGAAACUCGUGGCCGGUGGACCGCUGAUGACACAGCGCACCCACCGAUAUGGUAAUGUGUAUGUAAUGUAUCAAAGUGACCGAUGGAGGUCGUCAUCUCGUGGAAAUUCCACAAGUGCAAGCCACGUGGAUACAUUUCGUGUUCCGUUGGCCCACAGGGGAAAGGGAAAGAAGGAAGCUUUCUUUGGACUCUUUCGAUUGGAAUCGCAAUGGAUAAAAAUGGCUGUAAAUUUUAGAAAGGAUAAUACGGUGAGUUGGAAGCAUCA